rnacentral:rRNA from 1 species
UCUACAGGCUUAACACAUGCAAGUCGAGGGGCAGCAUGGUCUUAGCUUGCUAAGGCCGAUGGCGACCGGCGCACGGGUGAGUAACACGUAUCCAACCUGCCGUCUACUCUUGGACAGCCUUCUGAAAGGAAGAUUAAUACAAGAUGGCAUCAUGAGUCCGCACGUUCACAUGAUUAAAGGUAUUCCGGUAGACGAUGGGGAUGCGUUCCAUUAGAUAGUAGGCGGGGUAACGGCCCACCUAGUCUUCGAUGGAUAGGGGUUCUGAGAGGAAGGUCCCCCACAUUGGAACUGAGACACGGUCCAAACUCCUACGGGAGGCAGCAGUGAGGAAUAUUGGUCAAUGGGCGAGAGCCUGAACCAGCCAAGUAGCGUGAAGGAUGACUGCCCUAUGGGUUGUAAACUUCUUUUAUAAAGGAAUAAAGUCGGGUAUGGAUACCCGUUUGCAUGUACUUUAUGAAUAAGGAUCGGCUAACUCCGUGCCAGCAGCCGCGGUAAUACGGAGGAUCCGAGCGUUAUCCGGAUUUAUUGGGUUUAAAGGGAGCGUAGAUGGAUGUUUAAGUCAGUUGUGAAAGUUUGCGGCUCAACCGUAAAAUUGCAGUUGAUACUGGAUAUCUUGAGUGCAGUUGAGGCAGGCGGAAUUCGUGGUGUAGCGGUGAAAUGCUUAGAUAUCACGAAGAACUCCGAUUGCGAAGGCAGCCUGCUAAGCUGCAACUGACAUUGAGGCUCGAAAGUGUGGGUAUCAAACAGGAUUAGAUACCCUGGUAGUCCACACGGUAAACGAUGAAUACUCGCUGUUUGCGAUAUACUGCAAGCGGCCAAGCGAAAGCGUUAAGUAUUCCACCUGGGGAGUACGCCGGCAACGGUGAAACUCAAAGGAAUUGACGGGGGCCCGCACAAGCGGAGGAACAUGUGGUUUAAUUCGAUGAUACGCGAGGAACCUUACCCGGGCUUAAAUUGCAGAUGAAUUACGGUGAAAGCCGUAAGCCGCAAGGCAUCUGUGAAGGUGCUGCAUGGUUGUCGUCAGCUCGUGCCGUGAGGUGUCGGCUUAAGUGCCAUAACGAGCGCAACCCUUGUUGUCAGUUACUAACAGGUUCCGCUGAGGACUCUGACAAGACUGCCAUCGUAAGAUGUGAGGAAGGUGGGGAUGACGUCAAAUCAGCACGGCCCUUACGUCCGGGGCUACACACGUGUUACAAUGGGGGGUACAGAGGGCCGCUACCACGCGAGUGGAUGCCAAUCCCCAAAACCUCUCUCAGUUCGGACUGGAGUCUGCAACCCGACUCCACGAAGCUGGAUUCGCUAGUAAUCGCGCAUCAGCCACGGCGCGGUGAAUACGUUCCCGGGCCUUGUACACACCGCCCGUCAAGCCAUGGGAGCCGGGGGUACCUGAAGUGCGUAACCGCGAGGAGCGCCCUAGGGUAAAACUGGUGACUGGGGCUA